ACCCUGGAUCCCGCCACCGCCCGCAGCCCAGCCGGCGACGCUGCCAUCUCCCUGCACCGGAUCAAUGCCCACAUCUACACUUGUACACUUUUUUCAGUUGACACCGUAGGGAUAAUACAAAAAGCAUAUCCUUCAGUUCUGUAGAUAUGUUACAACCUCUCCGAACAUGUCUCCACCGACGUUCUCGGCGCCGUCCACAACUUCAUCGUGUGAGAGCUUCUGCUCCAGAUCCUCUUCCUCCAUGGUGCCCACCCGCCGUGAUGACAAGGUCUGCAACCGAAACUGAAGCAUAGUGUUCAUGGAACCAAACUGAAGCAAUGCAACGAGAAAGUACAAAAACAUGGACUGAAGUACCUUGUCCUGAAGCUCCUAUAGCCACUUCUUUGCCUGGAUGUAGGAAUCUGAUAGAAAAAACAAGGUGUGUCCCUCUACAUAUUCAAGAGGAAAAAUUGAUUGCUGAAAAUGCUUGUGUUUAUAGAAUUUAAUUUUUCUAUAUGUUUCUUAUUUUAAUUCAGCCCAAUAUCUAAUUUUAGUUGAGUUCAA